rnacentral:rRNA from 1 species
GACGAACGCUGGCGGCGUGCCUAAUACAUGCCAGUUGAGCGCUGAAGGUUGGUACUUGUACCAACUGGAUGAGCAGCGAACGGGUGAGUAACGCGUGGGGAAUCUGCCUUUGAGCGGGGGACAACAUUUGGAGACGAAUGCUAAUACCGCAUAAAAACUUUAAACACAAGUUUUAAGUUUGAAAGAUGCAAUUGCAUCACUCAAAGAUGAUCCCGCGUUGUAUUAGCUAGUUGGUGAGGUAAAGGCUCACCAAGGCGAUGAUACAUAGCCGACCUGAGAGGGUGAUCGGCCACAUUGGGACUGAGACACGGCCCAAACUCCUACGGGAGGCAGCAGUAGGGAAUCUUCGGCAAUGGACGAAAGUCUGACCGAGCAACGCCGCGUGAGUGAAGAAGGUUUUCGGAUCGUAAAACUCUGUUGGUAGAGAAGAACGUUGGUGAGAGUGGAAAGCUCAUCAAGUGACGGUAACUACCCAGAAAGGGACGGCUAACUACGUG